rnacentral:rRNA from 1 species
AUUGAACGCUGGCGGCAGGCCUAACACAUUCAAGUCGAGCGAGCGGCGGACGAGUGAGUCAUGUAUGGGGACCUGCCCGAUAGAGGGGGAUAACUACUGUAAACGGUUGCUAACACCGCAUACUAACGGAUGAACCCAUAUGGGAUUAGCUAGUAGGUGGGGUAAAGGCUCACCUGGGCCACUAUCUCUAGCUGGUCUGAGAGGAUGAUCAGCAACACUGGGACUGAGACACGGCCCAGACUCCUACGGGAGGCAGCAGUGGGGAAUAUUGCACAAUGGGCGCAAGCCUGAUGCAGCCAUGCCGCGUGUAUGAAGAAGCCCUUAGGGUUGUAAAGUACUUUCAUCGGGGAGGCGUUACCCGCAGAAGAAGCACCGGCUAACUCCGUGCCAGCAGCCGCGGUAAUAC